rnacentral:sRNA from 1 species
UCGACUUAUGGACAUCAAGAAGCCGAAGC